CCCGCUGAACUUAAGCAUAUCAAUAAGCGGAGGAAAAGAAACUAACAAGGAUUCCCCUAGUAACUGCGAGUGAAGCGGGAAAAGCUCAAAUUUAAAAUCUGGUGGUCUUUGGCCCUCCGAGUUGUAAUUAAGAGAGGCGUCUUCCGCGAUGGACCAUGCAUAAGUCUCCUGGAAUGGAGCGUCAUAGAGGAUGAGAAUCCCGUCUUUGGCAUGGACACCCAGGGCUUCUGUGAUGAGCUCAGCAAAGAGUCGAGUUGUUCGGGAAUGCAGCUCAAAAUGGGUGGUGAACUCCAUCUAAAGCUACAUAUUGGCGAGAGACCGAUAGCGAACAAGUACCGUGAGGGAAAGAUGAAAAGCACUUUGGAAAGAGAGUGAACCAGUACGUGAAAUUGUUGAAAGGGAAACGCGCGAAGUCAGUCACGUCUGACAAGACUCACAAUCGCCUUGACUGAGAGUGGCCAGCGACUGACGGGUCAGCAUCACUGUCGAUCCUCCGAUAAAGGCAAGGGAAAUAUAGCACCUUUACCGGAGUUUGAUACUCCUAUCUCGGACACGCGCGUGAUGAUCGAGGAAGUCAGUAAGCUCGUCAUGUGUGUCGUGGCCUUCCAGCUCUCGGAACGCGCUUAUGACCCCGGCAUAAUGGCUGUAAACGACCCGUCUUGAAACACGG
rnacentral:rRNA from 1 species